rnacentral:lncRNA from 1 species
ACGCUGGUACAUAGAAAAUCAAAUUGAACUUUGAAAUGACACACUGCCAUGUUGGAUACAGCUUUCAUAUCUGCCAGCUCGUGUAUACAGCUGUCGUAUCGGCCAGCUGGGGUAUACAGCUGUCAUAUUUGCCAGCUCGUGUAUACAUCUGUCAUAUCUUCCAGCCAGUGUAUACAGAUUUCAUAUCUGCCAUCUAGUGUAUACAGAUGUCGUCUCUGCCAGCAAGUGUGUACGGACUGUCUUGGUCUAGAUUUGCAUAACAUUUGCAUAAUAUGCUAAAAGUUGUCAUUUCAAAGUGUAUGUAACAAAAUCAGUCAUCGAAAUUGUGUUUUCUGACCUUGCUGCCACAGACGUGUGUGACUGUGUGUGUAAAAGUCUCUCUGGUUAGUGUUGCAGUGUGUAGCAACAUCAUGCACAGCAGUGUGUGCCCGCGGUACCUGCAAACCUGCAGGUAUUUAUUUUUGUAUUUUGAGUCACAAAAUUAACUUGAAUUAAUUCCAAAACAUGUGAAAACCAUUAGUCUACAGUUACCUCAUAGAUGGUUGUUUGAUAUGGGAUACGGACCAGCACGCUUCUUGGGUGUGGUCGGUAUCGGGAGAGGGGGCGGAAGGGAGGGAAGUUUGCAUGUACAGCGACAGGGAUCUCUUCUCCUGCAGUUUUUGACAAUGUUGAUCUGUUCAACUGUAGAUACCAUAUAUGUGUAUCAUAGGUGUAUGUAUGUAUACACAACAUUCAAACAUUUCCCAUUCUUCAGGAAGAGCGUAAUUCCAGUACCCUGUGUCACAGAGAGUGAGCCAUUGUUUACAGCAGUCAUGUGUCUAUCUGUUGUCCUCAUGAGACCAGGUAGGGUCUCACGCACACUCCUAGAGACCUAGCUAUCUCAUCACUUUUGUCUCUUUGUCUAUCAGUUUUAUUCAAUUUCUCAACAUUUGACCAAUUGUGUUAUGAUUUUUAGAAUGUUCCUAGUCGGUUGUUUUAGAUUUUACCGAUUUGUAAAUUUCAUACAAUGCCAAAGGUUUACGAAGAAAUGGCCAAAAUGUCUCUACCAUUACUAUCAUGUCCCUGAAGCCAGUCCUGUGGCAGGAAUCACAACGGUGUGGUGGAGUGACCGCUGUUACUGUUGUCGCAGUGUACAUGCUCGACUUGUCCUUCUCUGCAGUCAUUCAGUAAAUCGUAUGUGCCAUGAUGCUUGCAGACCUGAUAAGAAUAUAAUUUUGAUAUUUCAUUUGUCCCUGCUGACACUAAACCAAUGUUUUAAGUGAGUUAAGAUAGGCGAACUGUACCACAUCAGAAGGCAGAAUAACACUACUGUAUACUACUAAAACGUUGACCCUUAUAAAAUGUGAAUAUAUGAAUAUAUGGUGUAGAACUAUAACAGCAUUUUAUUUUUUCUAGCAACAAUUGGCAUAUUUGUGUGCUGUAUUAGAAUAUUUCUGUGCCUUACUCUGAGUGGUAUUACAAAAAAGAUUGUGUUGUGAUCGAAAAUGUUAUUCAAGAUUUAGGUGCCAUUUUAAACUUUAUUGAAAGAAUCCUAUUGUGUUCAGACACUGCAAAUUACAUUUGGUAGAAAGGUUCUAUACUGAUUUGGAUGUAAUCCGUCGUCUUUACAUGAAAUGAUCAGGUAUUUAAGCUUGAUGAAUGCCAUCUCUUCAGACUGUCACAGGGAAUAAGGAAUUAAGUAUUUUAGUCCUUGGUGAACUGUUGUAUGUUUCUACUGUAUGAACUAUACUAUAUUCUGCUGUCUGAUUGUUACUCUGAGCUGAAUAGUGACAAGCCUUCGUUGAUUUAGGUCUACGAUAGAUUGACGGACCACAGUUUACAAAUUGUUCGUCUUGUUUUGUGCUUACAAGGCAUGGUCAUUUUACUAUUGUCUGAAGAUUUUAUUCACAAUUUAGCCACCAAGUGGUAAUGGACUGACGUUAUUACGAACAUUUUUUCUUAUCCUGAAAGAGAUUAUUAUGACUUUUAUUCCAAAUCAUGAUUUAAAUAACAGUAGUUUUAAAGUAGUACAAGUACUUUAAAAAUGCUUUUGUUUGUUAGAUUAUGUUUGUUACCUGCACUGAUUCAGUAGCAGAGAUGAAAAAUAUGAUGUGUAAAUGCUUUGGUAAGUUCCCAAUUUCCCCUGGUAAAUGUAAUGUGUUAAUCCAGUCAUAUGAACAAAACGCACUGCCAUGCUGUACUGGAGUCUCAUGGCCCAAAUAGUCAACCAUACUUUACUGAUUUCUCAUGGCCUAAAUCUGCCAUACUGUGCUGGAGUCUCAUGGCCCAAAUAGUCAGCCAUACUUUACUGAUUUGUCAUGGCCUAAAUCUGCCAUACUGUGCUGGAGUCUCAUGGCCCAUAUAGUCAGCCAUACUUUACUGAUUUGUCAUGGCCUAAAUCUGCCAUACUGUGCUGGAGGCUUAGGACCCUGAUAGUCUGCCCUGAAAUCUUAUUGCCCUUAAAGUUUGCCAUACUUUAUUUGCAUCGAUUAGCCCCCCAAAUCCUGGCAUACUGUGAUGGAUUCGUGGCGUUAGUUGCCUGAAAUUUCUACUUAGAGUCUCAAGGCACCAGUGAUCUGCCUUUCCCUACUGGAAUCUGUUUUGCCCCACUGUUUUGCCAUACUUUAUUUGACAUCCAUGGCCCUACUGACCUUCAACACUUACCUGGAGUCAACUAAUGUACGGAUAUUGUUAAUACCACAUACAGACAUGAUUAUUUUCUAUGGAACACACUUCUUGAACUGUUCAGUCAACUUCAGAUGAUGGUCAACAUGAUGGACACAAAUACUGUUCCAGCUUCCUUGCAUAUUGAUAUUCUGAAAUGUGUGGAUUGUAGAAACCUCGGUCAGUGUUUCUUCUAUCUCUGAGGGUAGUGUUAUUGAAAAGUUUCAGAAAUUACUGAUUUGUCAAAACUAAUUUCAAAGAACAUCGCGAUCAGUAUUAUUUUCUUAUUAAACAUCCUUUGUUUUUGUUAUUGGCUUGUUAUUUCAUCACAGCAAAUAUGUUACUUCAAAGCCUCUUUGCAUAAAAGAUGCAACAUUUUACACAUCUGUAAUGAGGAAAUGAUUUAGAAGGCAGUUGUUGUUUGUUCUGUAGCCAUUGAUUAUAUUACUGAAGUAAGUACAGUCUGUAAUUAGGGAAUUCAAGGUUUUAAUAGUACGUUCCUUGGGAGUCGGCAACAGGACUGCCCUUGCUUCAAGAUUUCAUACAUUUUGAAUUUACCAGUCCUUCUCCAAUGGUAGUCCAGUAUAGAGAAGUUUGUUAAAAUUUAGGUACGAGUCAGAACCCCCAUAGUGUAGCUUGAUUUCAAUUAGUGCUAAGAUCAUGUGGAAUAACAAGCAGAUGAGGAUCAGUUCUCUGUGUUCUGGAUACCUAGCACGACCAUUUUAACCUGGCACCGCACAAAGAAUGUUGUGUGUCUAGAAAGUGUAAAACAAGUCUUGAAAAUUCCUAGUGUGUUUCUGAAGGUUCUAGCAUGUCCACAAGGUAAUCUCGUUGUAGCAUGUACUGAAGGUUCUAGUGUGUUCCCGAAGGUUUUGGCAUGUCCUAAGGGUUCUCUCUUUCUAACAUGUACUGAAGGUUCCAGCUUGUCCCUGAAAGUUCAGACAUGUAUUGAAGGUUCUAGUGUGUUCCUGAAGGUUCUGGCAUGUUCUUAAGGUUCUGGUCCAGCAUGUACUGAAGGUUCUAGCUUGUUGCAGAAGCUUCUUUCAUUGUCUGAUGAAGGUUCUGGCAUCUGACUAGGUUCUAGUGUUCUAUCUCACCAGAGUAUGUCCUUGUAUUAGGUUCCCAGAGGUCUCCAGUAUAGCCUGCCCCAGCUUCAGAUGCACUCAGCAGUCCCUACCAUGGCGGUAGGAGUGCACUGCUUCUAACCCCCGGAAUGGAUGUUUCUGAUGAUGCUUACAGGGAUGGUGUAUAUCACCAUCCUCCUCCUCCUAGCUGUUGACCCUCGUGUGUGACUGUAAACACUGGCUCCAGGUGUAUUCAUCUCACAAUCAUCACUCAUUUUAUUAUCCAUUCGUGUAUUUAUAUGUUAUCACGUCAUUUCUGUAAUAAACAUCCAGUUGAAACAUCA